rnacentral:rRNA from 1 species
UACGGGAGGCAGCAGUGGGGAAUAUUGCACAAUGGGCGCAAGCCUGAUGCAGCCAUGCCGCGUGUAUGAAGAAGGCCUUCGGGUUGUAAAGUACUUUCAGUCGUGAGGAAGGUGUUAAGGUUAAUAACCUUAGCAAUUGACGUUAGCGACAGAAGAAGCACCGGCUAACUCCGUGCCAGCAGCCGCGGUAAUACGGAGGGUGCGAGCGUUAAUCGGAAUUACUGGGCGUAAAGGGCACGCAGGCGGUUAAUUAAGUUGGAUGUGAAAUCCCCGGGCUUAACCUGGGAAUGGCAUUCAAGACUGGUUAGCUAGAGUCUUGUAGAGGGGGUAGAAUUCCGAUGUGUAGCGGUGAAAUGCGUAGAGAUGUGGAGGAAUACCGGUGGCGAAGGCGGCCCCUGGGACAAAGGCUGACGCUCAUGUGCGAAAGCGUGGGGAGCAAACAGGGAUUAGAUACC